CAAUAAAUAACAAUAUAGGGCUCUUUUGGGUCUUAUAAUUGGAAUGAGUACAAUUUAAAUCCCUUAACGAGGAUCAAUUGGAGGGCAAGUCUGGUGCCAGCAGCCGCGGUAAUUCCAGCUCCAAUAGCGUAUAUUAAAGUUGUUGCCGUUAAAAAGCUCGNAGUCGAACUUCGGCUUCUGCCGCCCGGUCCGCCUUUUUGGGUGUGUACUGGAGCGGKGGAGGCUUACCUCGUGGUGAGCAAUCAUACCCUUCACUGGGCGUGGUUGGGAACCAUGAUUUUUACUUUGAAAAAAUUAGAGUGUUCAAAGCAGGCUUACGCCCGAAUACAUUAGCAUGGAAUAAUAAAAUAGGACGUGCGGNUCUAUUUUGUUGGUUUCUAGGAUCGCCGUAAUGAUUAAUAGGGAUAGUUGGGGGCAUUCGUAUUCAAUUGCUAGAGGUGAAAUUCUUGGAUUUAUUGAAGACGAACUACUGCGAAAGCAUUUGCCAAGGAUGUUUUCAUUGAUCAAGAACGAAGGUUAGGGGAUCGAAAACGAUCAGAUACCGUUGUAGUCUUAACAGUAAACGAUGCCGACUAGGGAUCGGACGAGGAUUUUUAAUGACUCGUUCGGCACCUGAAGAGAAAUCUUUAAGUCUAGGUUCGGGGGGGAGUAUGGUCGCAAGGCUGAAACUUANAGGAAUUGACGGAAGGGCACCACCAGGUGUGGAGCCUGCGGCUUAAUUUGACUCAACACG
rnacentral:rRNA from 1 species